rnacentral:tRNA from 1 species
AGGGUUGUAGUUAAAUUAACAUUUAAUUUGCAUUUAAAAAAUAUUGAAUUUUCAAUCUACCUUAU